AUGGCUGGAAGACAAUAUGUUCUCUGGGAUGGAGCAGAGAUGGGGAGGAGGCAGGAGACUUUCUCCCAUCAUGAACACUUGCACAUGACCUCCAAGAAGAUUUCUUUCCAGCCUUCUGACAGCUGUUCUGAUAAUCCCCUGUACAAAUCAUUCAUACAUUUCAGAACUGAGAUUCUCAGCAUCAACCUCCCUGACAUUUUGGGCCAGAUAUUCGAAGUUGGGAUUUUCUCUGCUGCUGCUGCUGCUAAGUCGCUUCAGUCGUGUCCGACUCUGUGCGACCCCAUAGACCGCAGCCCACCAGGCUCCUCCCUCCCUGGGAUUCUCCAGGCAAGAACACUAGAGUGGGUUGCCAUUUCCUUCUCCAAUGCAUGAAAGUGAAAGAUGAAAGUGAAGUCGCUCAGUCGUGUCUGACUCUUAGCGACCCCAUGGACUGCAACCUACCAGGCUCCUCCGUCCAUAGGAUUUUCCAAGCAAGACUACUACAGUGGGGUGCCAUUGCCUUCUCCGGGGAUUUUCUCUAGACAUUGUCAAAUAUCUAUUGGUGUAGCAAAAUUGAACCCUGGUCCUAGAAAUUCUGCAGUUUUAGCUUUUAUAUUUAGGUUUGUGAUCUAUUUUGGGAUAACAUAUAUGUUUAAGAUAAGGAUUGAGCCUCUUUUUUUUUUUUUCAUAUGAAUAAAUAGUUGUUCCAGCAACA
ensembl:lncRNA